ensembl:lncRNA
AAUAUCUUAGUUGUUUUUUCCAACCUUAAUGAUCCUAUGAUUCUCUUUUGUUUACCUGGUUGGCUUGCAUGGAAAAGCCCAUUCAAGGACCAUAUCCUGGCCUCACUGUUCUGCUGAUUACAGCACUGCUGCUGCUCACAACACCUGGAAGCAACCUUGCCUCUCUCAAGAGCCCACCUCCACUCAUGAGCUUCUCUGUGCCCUUUGAGUGUUGUUGCAGGCUCUGAUGGCUCCAAAGCAGCUCACAGCCAACACAUGCUAGUGAUGCCAAUGUCCCUGCCCUGUCCAUCAGUGACCCCAGAGUGCACAGAAACCCACCCCAUAGGAAGCGGGAUCGCAGCUGGUGACUGCGGUUUCCCAUGCGGCCGCCGUCCCCGCUGCCAUCGCCUUGUUGAUGGGGCUACAGGCACACCGCGGGUGCCGACGUGGGGAUGAGUUAUCCAGAGCUCUGAGCACAGCAGAGCCGGCGGGGUUCCCAGGGAAGGAAAUCCCAGAGCUUCACGAGCUCCAAAGAAUGGCAGGCAGCAAGGAGCAGGAAGCGCUUGUUAGGAAGGAGCGAGGAAAUGGAGCCUCUGCCCCAACCCAAGCAAACUUUUGAGGACCGGAAAGUGGGAGUAGGAAGGUGUAAAAGUGCUUUGAGCUUUGGCAGGGGAUUGCAGAGGGCAAAGGGUGAAGGGAGAGGGACAAACACCGCCGCAGAACUCAAGGAGGGGGCAGCCCGUGUGUGCGUGCCGUGGAGGGGACUUCACAGUGGAGCUGCUAACUAAAUAAAGAAAGGCUCGUCGCCAUGCCUGUUAGGUUAACUCAGCGGGGAUAUUGCAAAAGCAAAUUCCUCCCAGCAAGUGUAAUUAGGGGGCCGGAAUUCCUCCAGUUCCUUGUCCUUGUUGUGGAUUCUGCUAAAGCCAUCAGGUGAGGGGGAACAAGAAAGUCCAAUGCAAUAACAACCCCCUCCCGGAGAGGCAAGGAUUUCACAUCAAGGCUUGACACUUUUCUCACUGAUUAUUCCAGGGUGGAAAGUACGCGUCAGACAAAACAGUCAGGGUCACAGGGCUGCUUCCCCCAGGGCAGCACGCUCACAUUAGGGGUGGAAAGAAGACAGCGAGGGGUCUGGGCAGGGCACUGUCAGGAUUUGGGAGGUGCCCACAUGCAGGAUCCAGCCCCAUCUGCUUGGCUGAGAAUUUACAGCACUCAGACUGCUACAUCCCAGUGGAUCAUCGGAACUUUGGGAUCCCUGGGCUCAUCAUGGUACCCUGUGCUUACAUGAGGAGGGAAGAUGCUCAUAGGAGCCAGCACGUGAAGAUGUCUCACCUGAUUCUGGGCCACAACAGGACUGCAGCUGGGGUUUCCCUCCAGCUGUGUGGAAUUACACUUAGAGCUGGUCCACGAAGAGCCCACAAGCAGUUGUCCCUGCCUGAGCAUCGCUGGGGCAUGCAGCAUCCCUGCCUGCUGCCCUGACCCCCCCACUGCAAGGAGAGGUCCCAUCCUCUGACCCAGAUGCCUUGUGCCUGUGUAGAGGUUUAUCCAAGAAGUGGAACUGUGGCUGUCCUGCAGCAGUGGCCACAUGAAGCCCUCCUGUCGGUGCACGAGGAGUGCCACCAGUGUGGGAAGAGAUCGCUUCAGGAAGAGCUGCAAAGAGGAGGAUAUGGCAAAUCUCUGCGGAGGGUGACCAAGCUCCGCGUUCCCAAACCCCUCCUUUCUUGGCUAUGUGCCCCAUGCCUGCUCUCCGGAGAGGUGACCCACUCCCCAUCCCUCCCCAUCCUUUACAUAGGAGAUGCGCUGGGCUCUCAGGGCGACGGUCACCUCUGCCGGGCCCGAUCCCCAUUCCUUCCGAAUGAGGCAACCCAAGCGUGGGCUUGCAGGGACACCUGGUGGCUGCCAGCCUCACUGCGGGGCAGGAAUGUCCUCGGGGCUGCGUGGGAGCUGCGUGACCGCCCCGUGGGACCUCGGGGAGAAACUGUUGCAGGGUUUGGUUUACGUGCAGCAGUCAGGGCCGGCUGCAAGCAGGCAUCCCUGCAGGGCAGCAGCAGCAACAGAGCCUGUGAGCAGGGAACCGCAAAUCCUCCAGGGGCUGAUGCGGGUGCUUGCCUGCUCUGUUCCUUUAGCAGAGGGAGGUCCCAGGGGCGAAGCAACAACGUCCAGCUGGCAGACCUGGCUCUGGACGCUGCCCAGCCUGUGCCAGUGAAAGCAGGGAACACUGGGUGCAGGACCCAGUGAGAGAAGGAGAGCGGGCAAGUCAGAAUCACUGCCCACGGGACAUCCUCCUCCCCUCUGUGUGCUCCCAAGGAGAGAGCCGGCUGCUUCACGUGCUCUGCCCUCACUCCCCCUGAGGCAGUGCUGUUCCCUUUGCCACGAUGCUCCAGGCGGUUGGCAGGGAUAAAACAAAGAGGAUUUUGCGUCCAGCUGUGUGCUGGAGAUCCAUAUCCUCACUCAGAGAG